UUUAUAAUUUUUUAUAUAAUAUAUAUUUUUUUAUAUAUUUCAUUUUGUUUUUUUUUUCCGUAUAAAUUAUAGAAAAAAAAGAAAAAAAAAAUUUAUGAAAAUUGUAUUAUUUUAAUCUUUUACUAUAUUAUUAUAAUAUAUUAUACAUACAUAUAUAUAUAUAAUAAUAUAAAUAGCAAAUAAAGGAUGGGAAAAAUCCUUUUAAUAUUUUGUUUAUUUGUUUAUUUGUUUAUUUGUUUAUUUGUUUAUUUGUUUAUUUGUUUUUUCUUUUUUGUUGUUUUUUCUUUUUUGUUUUUUGUUUUUUUUUUGUUUUAAUUUUUUUAAAAUUUAUGAAAGAGAUGAUGUAAUAUAUAUAUGUAUAAAUUAAAUAUAUAUAAAAUUUAUAGAAUAUCCACAUUUAAACUUUCUUUUUUUUUUUUUUUUGUUUUCUUUGUUUUUUUUGUUUUUUUUGUUUUCGUCCGAUUGGAAAUUUAUACGGUGCGUAGUAUUAAAUUGUUAUGUGUACAAAAUAUGAAAUUCGUAGUAUUAUAUAUGUAUAUGAAUAUAAUUUAAAUAUAUAAAAUAUUAUUAUUAUAUAUUUGAAGGGAAAACAAAGAAAAAAAAAAAAAAAAAAAAAAAAAAAUACACAUGGAAACAUAAAUAAAUAAUAAUAAAUUGUUAAUAUAUAUGUAUUUAUAUAUAUUUAUUUAUAUAAUAUUUCUGUAAUUUUUUUUGGAAUAAAAAGAAAUGAGAAAAUUACAAAUGCACAUAUUUUUACAAAUAAAUAUAUAGAAAGUGUUAAGCUUAUUAAUGUCAUUUAAUUUAAAAUAACAGAUAGUUACAUAUAUAUAUAUAUAAUUAUAUAUAUAAUUAUAUACUUUUCAAAAUAAAUAAAUGUAGAAAAUAUGUCUAAUAUAACAUCAUUUAUUUGUCUAUAAAAUUUGGAAAUAAUUAUCCUUUAUAUAUAUAUAUAUAUAUAUAUAUAUUUAUUUAUUUAUUUUAUUUUAAGGAGAAUUAAUAGGUAUGUACAAUUUAUAAAAUGCAUAUAAUAAAAAGAAAAAAAAUUUACUUGUACAAAAUGUAAAUGGAUGAAUUGUAAAAGUUUUUUUUUUUUUUUUUUUUACCUUUUACAUAUUUCAUUGAAUUGAAAAAAAAAGGAAAAGAAAAAAUAUACAUUAUUUAUAGAAACUAAGAAAAGAGGAAUCUCCUUUAAAAAAUAUAAAUAAGUAAUAAGAACUAUAAAUAUAUUGUCAUGUGAAAAUAUAUAUAUGUAAAUUGUUUUAUAUUUGUAUAUGCUAGUCAUUUCUCCCCUUUUCUUUUCUGAACACCUAAAUUAUAAUAUAGAGAAAAAAAAAAAAAAAAAAAAAAAAAAGAGGAAGCAAAAAAAAAAUUAUAUAAAUAUAUAAUUAUAUAAUUUUUAUAAGAAUAUAAGGAAUAUAUAUAUAUAUAUAUAUAUGUUCAUAAAUCGUAUAACAAUAUUUGAACAUACACUUUGAAAUGUUGUUAUAUAUAAUUUUCGUUAUCCUUUUUUUUUUUUUUUUUUUUUAAUAUAUAAGAAGAUCAAAAUUAAAGUAUAUAUAUAUGAAUGUAUAACCAAUAUAUAGAUCCCAUUUUUUUUGUGUAACCAUAUUUUAAAUAUCAGUAUUAUGUCUGUCUAUAAAGAUCAUUUUAUUAAAUGAUAUAUAAUUUUAAAAUAUUUUAUCAUAAAAAGAUUCAACCUCUAUUAGAAAAAACGAAAGAAUAUAUACAAAUAUAUAUAUAUAUAUAUAUAUAUAUACAUAUAUAUUUUUAUAUAUUUUUUUUUUUUUUUUUUUUUGCUUCGCUUUCCUGUUAUAUAAUAUUUUAAUAUUAUGUUGGGAAAAAAAAAAAAUAAUUAUGUAAUAUGUAAUAUAUAAUAUAUCAACAUAUGUAAUAAAACACAUUUUAUUAUUUUAAAUGUAUUCGUUUAUCUUUGUCUUAAAAAAUAAAAUUUGUAAAAUAUAUUAAUAAAGUAUAUACGUCUUAUUUAUUUUAUAUUUUGCUUUUUUUAUAAAGCACAAAAGAUAGCGUUCAUUCAUAUAGAAAAGACCACAUUUUUAUGUAUACGCAUGAAAGAAUUAUUAUUUAAUUGUAUUAUCAUAUAUAAGUAUCUUAUUAUUUACAAAAAAUGGAAAAAAAAAAAAAAAAAAAAAAAAAAAAAAAACAGUAUUACUUUUAUAGUUUUUUUUGAAUAUAUAUAUAUAUAUAUAUUUUAAAUACAUGUCAUACAUAUCGUAUAUGUACGAAAUAAGGAAAAAUAUUAGGUACAUAUAUUUUUAUAUAAAAAUUUAUUUAUGUACACCAAAAAAAAAUAUUAAUUUCCGUAAUAUUAUAAAAGUACAAUAAAAAUAUGAUGUAUGUACAAUUUAUGAAUACUACCCGCUUUUCUAAUUUAUAAAAGAAAUAAAAAAAAUAAUAAAUAAAUAAAUAAAAUAAUAAGAUAUAAUGGAAAAUAUCCAUUUUAUAAUUCACUAAUUUUCCCAUGUGAAUGAGAACAAAAUAUGUAUAUUUAUAUAAAAUAACACAUAUUCUUUUGUUCUUUUUAGAAAUAAGAAAUAUAUAUUAUUUUAUAUAACUUUUGUAGUACGCCCUUAACAGCUAUCAUGAAUAAAAAAAGAAAAGAAAAAGAAAUUACUGUAUAAAAAAAUAUAUAUAUAUAUAUAUACAAUAUAAUAUUCUUCUAUUUUUAAAUUAAAAUAUAGAAAUAUAAAUUAAUAGUUCAAAUAUAUUAUUAUCAUUAAUUUUACUUUAUAUACUGUUAAAAGGAAAAAUUUAUUUAUUUAAUAAUCUUCAUUUUUAACGAGCUUACAUAAAUAAAUAAAUGUAUAUAUAUUAUAUAUAUUAUGUAUUAUUAGAAAAUCUGAAAUAUUAUAUUUUAUUAUAUUAUAAUAUUAUAUAAUAAUUUAAAAGAAGCACUUGCUAUUUAUAUAUUUAUAAAUAUAAAUAUAUAUUUUUAAUAUUUUUUAUUAUGUUUUACAAUAAUAUAUAAAAAACAAAUUUUAUAUAUUAUUUUGUAUGUUUUUUAAAUAUGCCUUAACUUUUUUUUUUUUUUUUAAGUACUUUUAAAGGGAACAAAAUCGUCUCAAAAGAAAAAAAAAAAAAAAAAAAAGA